rnacentral:rRNA from 1 species
UCUGGUGACUAUAACUUAAAGGGAAAUACCUGUACCCAUGCCGAACACAGAAGUCAAGCCUUUAGGUGCCGAAGAUACUUGCGAGUUACCUUGCUGGGAAAAUAGGUUGUUGCCAGAU